rnacentral:tmRNA from 1 species
GGGGUUGUACUGGUUUCGACGGGGAUUUAGAAAUCAUGGAAGCCAUUGAUGGUCCGGGACCAUCUAAAAACUCGGAAUUAAAUAUAAACGCAGACAAUAAGUUAGCGUACGCUGCCUAAUGGCAGCUGUCUUACCUAAGUUAGCUCGUGGCUUGGGAUAAGGCAUCAAAACAGCGGGGCACUUUGGUGUGAAAGCUUUGACACAUCAAAAGAAUUAUGAAGCUACCAAGACUGAUAGCCUGUCGGUUGGCAAUUGGUUGAGGGAAUGUUUAUAAAUCGACUGUAAUGGGAGAUGCCAUGAUGGAAGAGUUUUCGGACGCGGGUUCGAUUCCCGCCAGCUCCAUUU